GGUUUUGUUUUGUCAUUUUGCGGCACCGCCUAAAUUAGCCAAAAACCGUGCCCUUUCGUGGGGAGUUUCGCCUUCAGUCGGCACCCGCAACGAAGACCGAAGAUCUCAUUUCUAUUGGAAUCUCUCUCUUUCUCUUUCUCUGAAACAAAAGAGAAACGGACCCAAAGAUGCAUCGAUCAUCGAGCGGUUCCCGAGUCGCAGACGAGUUCUUCAUCAACUCAACACCAUCCGAAUCACAGAGUUCGAAGCAACAGAGCUCAGAGAUGGUUUCCCUGAUCCCGCAACAACUGCCCACAUACAACCCCCUCUCGUACGCCGCUAAGAAAGAAAGGUCUCGUAUUAGAUUUGCCGAGAACGCCAUCCACAUCAUCCCUCUCGUUCUGAUUCUUUGCGCUAUCAUUCUUUGGUUCUUUUCCAGCCCAGAAUCAAGGGUUUGAAGAUUGAUUGCAAGAUCAAGAUUCCUUGGUGCAUGGACUGACUCGCUUCAAAACUGGAGCUGGAGGACUUUAAUUCAACAAAACAACUGGUGUGCGUAAUCUGUGAUAUUAUCAAAGAAUGGGUGUGAUUCACUUUUUUCUUGUCAAAGAGAGUACGAGAUGUUCAUUUGCUAUGGAAAAACCAUUUUGAUUUUUGAAGAAUUUAGGUGAUUUCAUGCAUUUUGUGAUAUUACACAUAUAUACAAAUACAAGAUGAUAAAUUAAUGGGUUUAGAAGACAGAAGAGAGCUAUUUUCUUAGGGAUGAGUAAUGCAUUGUCAUGUUUGUAAGAUAGAAAGUGGUUUUACCAUUUGGCUAUAAUGAUAGUAGAAACAUCUUUUCAAUCAUUCUGUUUA